UACGAAGGGGGCGAGCGUUGUUCGGAAUUACUGGGCGUAAAGCGUAGGUAGGCGGUCUACCAAGUCAGGGGUGAAAUCCCGAGGCUCAACCUCGGAAUUGCCUUUGAAACUGGUAGGCUAGAGAAUGUUAGAGGCAAGUGGAAUUCCUAGUGUAGGAGUGAAAUCCGUAGAUAUUAGGAGGAACAUCAAUGGCGAAGGCAGCUUGCUGGGACAUUACGUGACGCUGAGCUACGAAAGCGUGGGGAGCAAACAGG
rnacentral:rRNA from 1 species